CUCAGAAGCAUAUGCAUAGCAGGGGACUCUAGUCAAACAGAAAUUGAAGUAGAGGGAAGAAGGAUGUCUCGAAAACUCAGCUACGACCCAAAGUCGAGUUAUGGAAACAAGAAUUGCAACUGUUCCUCAGUGUUCCUUCUUUGUGAUGUUACGCAUGUAUUAAAUGUGUUAUCUGAGCUCCUUCUCUUUCCUCUCCUUGCUCCCACUACCAGAUUAGAGUCUGCCUUGUGACAUACAGGCCAUUUUGCUGAUAGGUGGAAGACCACUGAUGAGAAUGACGGAAACCAAUGGAGCAAGAGGAGGAGAGGCAUCACUCAGUUAAUCCAGGUUAAUCAGAAUUCCAAAAGUGCUGCAACCCUUGACCUAGGAAGUCAAAACCUGUCACUCCAAGGUAGGCAGUGUGCUCCACAUGCUUGUAUUCACCCCGUCAGAAUCCC
ensembl:lncRNA